UUUGUGCCCUUAUCUGAAUAGACACGAGAGAGAAGACUGCUGUCUCACUACAGGAGAACACAAUGAGAAUAUCGCCGUCUGCAAACCGGGAAGAGCACCUUCCCCAGGAGCUCCCCAGGCUUGCACCCUGACCUCAGACUUCCAGCCGCCACAACUGUAAGAAGUAAGGUUUUGUUAUUUAAGGUACCCCGCCUGUGGUAUUCGGUUAUAGCAGCCUGAAUGAAGACAGGUAAUCUGAAUACAUAAAACGGAUUCUAGCUUUCUGUGGCUGAAUAGCACGAAAACAUCUAGAUGAAUUUCCAUCAGAUCCAAGGUUUUCAGAUCUACAGAGAUACGAUCAUCUCCGAUUCAACUCCUGAUUCAUCUCUGCAUGGCCCACAGCGUGCAGCAGCAUCAUGUAAAAGUUCAAAAUCUGGAUGAACAUCUGAAUGAAGGGCAGCUGUUUUGUAAGCUUUGGACCAAUGAAUCCAUGCUUAGCAAUAGCACAAGAGAAAAACAAAGGAGCCUGGGUUCCCAGGGGAAGCGUGGACUCAUUGAAUCAGCCCUGAAGGGUUCAAACUUUUUAUCAGGAAAGGGCAAGGAGCAAGCCAGAGAAGCAACAAUAGCAGCCCCUACAGCAUAUGCAUAAGGAAAGCAGAGUAGAAAUGUCAACCAGAUUCCUGACCCGGCUGUCCUUUUUUUAGAACAUUGUCUUUCGGUGCCAAAACUUUAGGCAUCUUCUCGAAAUAAGAAGGGCAUGUAAUGGCUGUCAAAGACUUCAGAACUUUAUUUUUGGAGCUGGUGUCAUAAAAGAGAGAGACAAAAUGAUGCUGAAAAUAUGUCUCACCUCUUACCUUUUCCACACUGUCAGAAAAUUUCAACACAAAGAACAAGCCAAACGCGCUGUCUGGACUGCCAGUGGCAAGGGACCACAGCCCUUCUAAUUAGUUCAUGACUGUGAAAAACUCCAGAACUGAGUCAUCUUAGCCAGUUCGUAUUCCUAGUAGCACCUCGUAGCCCUAAUAACAUCUGACAAUCGUCUAGCAGAGAUGUAUCUCAUGCCAGUAGUCUUCCUACUGCGGAUGACUUACUGGAAGAAACAAGAAGGAGACAGGGAAAGAGCCCUCAGAGGAAAAGAAAAGGCAGAAUUGAAAAGUUACAUACACAAAGAGUAAUGUAAGGGUUUGGAUCUCCCCACCCCUACCCC